rnacentral:ncRNA from 1 species
CCUCAAGGACGACCUUGAGGACGACCUCGAGGACGACCUCA